GUCUAUAAAUAUCUUAUUGGAAAAUGCUCAAGGUACACUGAAGUGUCCAAUAUGGUGUCCAAAAUGGACACCCGGCACCUCGGUAUUGGCCAAGGUGCUGGUGGGCCCCGACGUGGUAGGCACCUCAGCCAAUGCCGAGGUGCCGUGUGUCCAUUUUGGACACCAUGAUGGAUGCCACAAUGUACCCCAAGUAUAACCCUAUUUUAUUAUGUGUAGGCCCCCUUCAUGUGA
rnacentral:lncRNA from 1 species